UACGGAGGGUGCAAGCGUUAUCCGGAUUCACUGGGUUUAAAGGGUGCGUAGGUGGGUAAGUAAGUCAGUGGUGAAAUCUCCGGGCUUAACCCGGAAACUGCCAUUGAUACUAUUUGUCUUGAAUACUGUGGAGGUCAGCGGAAUAUGUCAUGUAGCGGUGAAAUGCUUAGAUAUGACAUAGAACACCAAUUGCGAAGGCAGCUGGCUACACAAAUAUUGACACUGAGGCACGAAAGCGUGGGGAUCAAACAGGA
rnacentral:rRNA from 1 species